AGGUGGUGUGGUGGCCUCAUAGGGCUUGGCUGUGACUUAGAAGGAAAGGCAGGGUUGAGCAAGUAGGGAGGGGCAGAUACUAGGAGAGUAGGUAAGGGAGGGGGCACUUUAGAGGGGCUACUAAGAAGUCCCUCUGCUUGGCCAAGUGCUCAAGCAUCCUCUGACUUCCAAUCCAAGCCUUUCCUUCUCUCUAGCCUUUCCUCAAUGAGCAGCCUUGGUGGAGACAAAGUCACAGUCACUCACCUUGAAGUGAAUUAAAGAGCUGCCAGUCCAUGUGUCUCAAAAUAACAUGAGUUAAACAUCUUAAACAUAUUCAUCAUGUGGCAACAUCAACUCAGAAAGCAGUACAUCUUGGAGGCUGUCACAAACCCAGGGAUUUUUAUCUCAAUAGUGAAUGACUACAGGAUCCCUGGGGCUGCUGGAAGUACUCAUUCUGGGUGUUAACACAGCAGGGAACAAUCAGAACUGGAAGAAGAAGAAGUGAUUGGCAUGCUGACACACUGCCAUAAGAAUUGCAGCGGGGAACAAUUACAUUGCUCAAAAAACACUUCACAAUUGGAUAGGAAGGGAAUUAUGUCAGUGCUGAAAGAUUUCACAGCUGUACUCCAAAACAAACCUGGAAAUGCACAUUAUAGGUACUGGAAACAAAAGAACCUAUUAUUUUGCCUUCUUUUAGGUUUGACCUUGGAUUUGCCAAACCUGACCCCUAGUCGAGGUGAGCCAUCAACCUCUGGACACCUUCUGAGGUGGAAAUACCAAUACCUGGCAUUUUCUGAGCAUUCUCCAAACAUCUUCUUACAGCCUGAGGACCCCCAUCUCUCUGCUAGUAUCUGA
rnacentral:lncRNA from 1 species